rnacentral:rRNA from 1 species
GACGUAGGAUGCAAGCGUUGUCCGGAUUUAUUGGGCGUAAAGAGUUCGUAGGUGGUUUGUUAAGUCUGAUGUUAAAGACCGAGGCUCAACUUCGGAAAUGCAUUGGAUACUGGCAGACUGGAGUAUGGUAGAGGCAAGUGGAAUUCCCAGUGUAGCGGUGAAAUGCGUAGAUAUUGGGAAGAACACCCGUGGCGCAAGCGACUUGCUGGGCCAUAACUGACACUGAGGAACGAAAGCCAGGGGAGCGAAU